GCCUCGUCAGCCGAGUUGAUAUACGGCGCACCCCUGGCCGUCCCAGGAGAGUUCAUACCAGCCCCAAGGGGGCAAGAGGAAGAACCCCCAGCAGUCCUGGACAGGUUACGCGAGAGGCUCGGCAACCUGGCCCCCGUACCAACUUCAAAGCAUGGACGAACCCGACCCAUGUACCCAAAGACCUGCAGAACUGUAAGUUUGUGUUUGUACGAAGGGGCGGACACUGGGCACUGCUACAGCGGCCGUUCAAGGCAUUUACAAGAAAAAAAGAAAUACUAUAGACUUCUACAAAAAAACAUAAAACAGACAAAAAACUGACAAAUGCAAAUGUGCAAAAGAAGAGAAAAUAUGCAAAUGAAAAUAAAACCAAGAACACGAGUUGUAAAGAGUCCUUCAAGGUAUUUCAGAAGCUGAAUGAAGAGCCAAUGAAAUGGCAUCUGCUGAUGACUUGUCGUGAUAGUAGGUAAAUUGAAUUGGUUCCAGGAUAUUCCUUGCUUUUCAAGGGGGACAGAAUUAGGAACAAGGGAAUGGAUUUUGUGGCUGGAACAAAAUAAAAUUGCUUUUGUCUUUAAUGGCUGG